UACGGGGGGAGCAAGCGUUGUUCGGAUUUACGUGGGCGUAAAGGGCGCGUAGGCGGUCGUGACAAGUCACUUGGUGAAAUCUCCCGGGCUUAACUCGGAAACGGUCGAAGUGAUACGUGUCGGACUAGAGACAGAAGGGGGCAACUGGAAUUCUCGGUGGUAGCGGGUGAAAUGCGUAGAUAUCGAGAGGAACACCUGCGGCGAAGGCGGGUUCGCUGGGCUGAUACUGACGUGAGGCGCGAAAGCCAGGGGAGCGAACGGGG
rnacentral:rRNA from 1 species